CACGUAAGUAAUCUACCUUUGAGUGGGGAAUAACGUCCGGAAACGGGCGCUAAUACCGCAUAAUGCAGCGGCACCGCAGGGUGACAGUUGUUAAAGGAGCAAUCCGCUUAAAGAGGAGCUUGCGGCAGAUUAGCUAGUUGGUAAGGUAAUGGCUUACCAAGGCUACGAUCUGUAUCCGGCCUGAGAGGGCGGUCGGACACACUGACACUGAAUAACGGGUCAGACUCCUACGGGAGGCAGCAGUCGGGAAUUUUGGGCAAUGGGCGAAAGCCUGACCCAGCAACGCCGCGUGAAGGAUGA
rnacentral:rRNA from 1 species